GUUUAGCUACGGUAGCGACUUGCGACGGCAACGACUUGCGGCAGCAGCGUGACUUACGGCUGCCCCCUGGUGAGGAGCGGUUGCGGACGAAUGAGAAUGCGAGAUUGGGUUCGAAGGUGUCCCGGGCGGGCUACCUUCCAAAAUGACCCAGUCGGUGGUCGUACAGGUUGGCCAGUGCGGAAACCAGAUCGGUUGUUGCUUCUGGGACCUGGCCCUGAGGGAGCACGCCGCGGUCAACCAGAAAGGAAUUUAUGAUGAGGCAAUAAGCAGCUUCUUUAGAAAUGUGGAUACCAGAGUGGUUGGUGGUGGUGGCAGCAUUUCCAAGGGGAAGAUACGUUCUUUGAAAGCACGAGCUGUCUUGAUUGACAUGGAAGAAGGGGUAGUGAAUGAAAUUCUUCAGGGACCAUUGAGAGAUGUAUUUGAUAGCAAGCAGCUCAUCACUGAUAUUUCUGGCUCAGGAAAUAACUGGGCUGUGGGGCACAAAGUUUUUGGCAGUCUUUACCAAGAACAGAUUUUAGAAAAACUCAGAAAGUCGGCAGAGCACUGUGAUUGUUUGCAGUGUUUCUUUAUAAUACACUCCAUGGGAGGAGGAACAGGAUCUGGACUUGGUACAUUUCUUUUAAAGGUUCUUGAAGAUGAAUUCCCAGAAGUAUACAGAUUUGUGACUUCAGUUUAUCCUUCUGGUGAGGAUGAUGUCAUAACUUCACCUUAUAAUAGCAUCUUGGCAAUGAAGGAACUUAAUGAGCAUGCAGACUGUGUGUUGCCCAUUGAUAAUCAAUCUUUAUUUGACAUCAUUAGCAAAAUUGACCUCAUGGUGAAUUCUGGAAAGUUGGGUAAAACCGUGAAGCCCAAGAGUCUGAUUACUUCAAGUGCUGGGACUUUUAAAAAGCAGCAUAAGAGGCCCUUUGAUGCAAUGAACAACAUUGUGGCAAAUUUGAUGCUUAACCUAACAAGCUCUUCAAGGUUUGAAGGAUCCCUUAACAUGGACAUUAAUGAAAUCAGCAUGAAUUUAGUUCCUUUUCCACAACUUCAUUAUCUUGUGUCAAGCCUAACACCUCUAUAUACACUGGCAGACAUUAACGUUCCUCCUCGGAGGUUGGAUCAGAUGUUUUCAGAUGCCUUUAGUAAAGAUUACCAACUAAUUCAAGCAGAUCCCAAACAUAGCCUAUAUCUCGCCUGCGCCCUCAUGGUUAGAGGAAAUGUACAGAUUUCAGAUCUUCGCAGAAAUAUUGAAAGAUUAAAACCUUCUCUACAUUUUGUCUCCUGGAAUCAAGAAGGCUGGAAGACUAGCCUGUGUUCUGUACCACCUGUGGGCCAUUCUCAUUCAUUAUUAGCUUUAGCAAAUAACACAUGUGUGAAGCCUACCUUUGUGGAACUGAGAGAGAGAUUCAUGAGGCUCUACAAGAAAAAGAUCAGGCCCACAGUGCUUUCUCCUUGGGCUAGCCACUUCAUAUCAUCUAUGGAAACAAUGGAUCCAUGGAUGGGUCUGACGUGAGUAGACAGAGCCCCUCCACUGUCUAGUGCUUAAAAGAAACAGAAGGAAGAAAAGACACUUUUUGAUUGCUUUCAAAAACAAAAUCUGAAGACAACAAGUCAUUAGGAUAAUGCAAGAGGAAGGUUGUGCUUCAAAAACAGAUCUGAGCUUUAGCCAAGCAGUGAUGUUAGAAGACUUCCUAUCAUUUGCUCUUCUAGCCUCAAUCCUCUUCUGUGAAAUGGGAUUGAUAAUAUGCACCUGGUAAGGUUGCUUUGCAGAUUAGGAUGGGUAAAGUGCCUAGCACGGUGCUUGGCACACAGUUGAUGUUCAAUAAAUGGUAAGUAUAUCAUCUGACUCUUUAAAAAUUCACAACAGCAAAGAAGUGAAACACAAAAUAAUACUUUCUUACUACCCUUAGCAUAACACAUUUCUGUGUUUUUUAAAUUUUGUAUCCUGUACUCAUCUCUCCAUAUUGGAAUACUUGCUAUUUAGGAACAUGUAGCAGCUCAGUCCAGAAAGUGGAAUAGGAGAGGGACAUCUGUGUCCCACCCCCACUGGGGAAGUGUUCCCCUAGGGGACAAUGAGCAAGACCUAGGCCACUGACAUUAUCAUCAUGAUAUUUUUGAAGUCUUAAAUCCCUCAAUACUAAGUAUAACAACUUGCUUUCCAACAUAUAUCUACUGCCCACUGCUCAAAUUGGCUAUUAACUCAGACAUUUCCAUGUUUUCUAAAUCACCAGAAGAUUUCAAAAGCUCUGUCUCCUGUGCCAACAACCUCAACUAUGUAAAUGAAUCAAUAAAUAAGUCACCUUGUUUUAAUCUUCUCAUUAAAAAAAAUACUAAGACAACGAAUUGCUCAUAUUAAACUUCUCUUUGGUCUGUUGCUUGAAAUAUUUCCAAGUCUCCAUGGGCCGAUUCCCUUUCACACACACAAACGUGAGAAACACAUGGAUUGAGAAAAGACAAACUAAUAGAAUAUUUUAAAAAUGUACAUGUUUGUUCCAAAGUACUCCUUUCAAACAAGGACUGGCUUCACUGAAAAAAAAGUUGUUGCCAAAAUCCAUUUUCUAGGGGCUCUUUGCACAUUUUUUGCAAACAACCCUGGAAAGUUGAGCCCCAGCCUGGCAGUGUUCACUCCACUGUGGCCGCCAGCUCUGCCGUUGUCCCAGGGUCACAGUGCAUGUUCAACUUGGAUAAAAUAUAUAAAGUUGAGGGCUGUUUAAACAUAGUGAAAGUAGACUUCAGUGCCUUAACCUGAAAGGGAGAGGAGUUUCACAUUUCUCUCAUGAAGCUAAUGCACUCAAACAGAACUUUACUUGGAGAGAAAAAUGGCUCCCUAUUUUCCCACUAGUAAUUUUCCCCCAUCUUCUUCCUUUUUUAUUUUUAGCCUGAAGAACUCGAAAUGGCUAGAGUCUCUGGAAGGGAAAGAGGAAGGACUUACCUGUGCCAGCCCGGUGAAGAGAAGAGUGGAACAGAGGAGCCCCUGCAUGUCGCUGGGAUGCGGCUGGCCUGAGAGAUGGGAAAGUGGGGGCUCCUCAUGCUGGGGACACACAAAGCUUCCCUGUCUUCUCCGAAGGAGCCGCCUCCACCUCCGGGCACUGGCUUCCACACUGGCUCUCCUUUCAGUACCCUGCUUACUUUCAUGUGACUCUUCCAGAAAUACCUUCACAGCUAGGAUGAAGUGUGUCAGGAGAGGGCCAGGGCUUUCCUCCAGGGAUUCAAGGGCAGAUCCAGCGAUGGCUUUUCUUUAAGUAAAUGUGCUCCCUUUUCCUGAGAUCAGAGUCUGCCCUUGGGCAAAAUGGAGGCAUUACUUUCCAUUGCUGGCCCUCUGCCUUCCUCUGUGAUUCCGCGGCUCCAGCUCCUCUCUGGGCUGCUUUCCUUCCUCCUUUGCCCUCAAGCAGAGGGCUAGCCUGGUCUCUCCCCUUCUUGCCUCAUCACAGCCUGGCCCUGUUGAUGGAUUUCUCACUUCCCAUCAACAACCAAUUUCCAAAAGGCCAUUUCUGAUUGGCUAGCUGUUGACUCUUGGACAUUCCCACAUACUCUCCAUUACAACACAUUCCUCACACCAGGUGGACCAUGAUUGGAAAGGAAAAAUUCAACCUGAGAAAAGCUACUUUCUGUGGCCACAAUUCCGUGGCAAAUAAAAUUAAAGCUAACUCCAAUCUUUCCAGGCCUAUGAUCAAACAUUUGUGCGAGUAACAGUCAUUUGGAUUAAAGUUUUGUUUUAAAAACUUA